AGCCUCAUUCUUCAUAAGAAUGGGCACUGUCAAUCAGCGUCCAGAACUGGUUAAUGUGGCUAAGUUGAGACAAUGGACAUGUUUCCAUCAUAGUAGAUAUGUUACAGUGGUGACAAUGAGACCUGUAACAUUU
ensembl:snoRNA small nucleolar RNA SNORA1